CUGUUUGACACCUUCUCAGUGUUUGGGAAGAUCGUGUCGUGCAAGGUUGUGGAAUCAAAGGGAUACGGCUAUGUCCAGUUUGAGUCACAGGAGGCAGCUGCGUCGGCCAUCAAGCGGCUCAACGGGAUGCUGCUGAACGACCAAUACGUCACCAUUGAGUAUUUUAAGUACCGUGAUGAGCACAAACCUGAGGCUCGCCCUCAAGACCAUCCAAUAAUCUGUACAUCAAAAAACUCGACUGCACCGUUGAUGAUGAGUGUUUGCGCACGGUGUUCGGAGAGUUUGGGACCG